rnacentral:tRNA from 1 species
UACUAUUUAAUAUAAAUUAUAAAUAUAUUAUAAUCUAUUAAUUAAUAUCUUGCUAAAUAAUACACAUAAUAUAAUAUAUAUAUUUUGUAAUUUUAUUAUAAUCUCGUUUAUACUAAAAAAAAGAUACUUUUGAAGAAAUAAAAUUAAAAUAAUAAAUAUAUGUUUUUAUUAAUUAUAAUUAUAAUUAUAUAACUAAACAUUAGUAUAUUGUAUUAAUAAUAUAUUUUAUUAGUAUUAA